rnacentral:lncRNA from 1 species
CAGCUCCAUGGUUUGUAUGUGUGGUUCAAGACUUUGCAGGAUCCUGUUGCCUGUCUUGUGUAGCCCCCAUGGAUCUGCCUCAAUGUCUGGGUCACCUUCUUUCUGCGGUUCCUGUGCUCCAUCUAAGGGGGCACCUGGUGUGUUCUGGACCCUCCUGGUCUCUGCAGCCAGCUUUUCAUUGUCUGGGUGCCCUGGCUACCAUCCACGCCCAGCAGUGCUAUCCGUGUUCACCAGGGACAGUCCAAAGCCUCUGCAAAGAGUAAAUCCUGAAGGCUCUAGACUCUCUCGAAGGGCGUUGCUAUGUGGUCCCAGUGCUCGAAAAAGACAGUGACUUCUGGCCCCCAAGUUCUGGGCCCUCCCUCUUCUCUGCCCUUGUGCUGUCCUGUCUCUCACUCAGCGAGUUCCUGCCCUACCUGAUUCAUGGAGAAUAAAUGACGAGGGAGAAACA